AUUGAACGCUGGCGGCAGGCUUAACACAUGCAAGUCGAGCGAGCGGCGGACGGGUGAGUAAUGUCUGGGAAACUGCCUGAUGGAGGGGGAUAACUACUGGAAACGGUAGCUAAUACCGCAUACCAUCAGAUGUGCCCCGAUGGGAGUAGCUAGUAGGUGGGGUAAUGGCUCACCUAGGCGACGAUCCCUAGCUGGUCUGAGAGGAUGAUCAGCCACGCUGGGACGGAGACACGGCCCAGACUCCUACGGGAGGCAGCAGUGGGGAAUAUUGCACAAUGGGCGCAAUCCUGAUGCAGCCAUGCCGCGGGUAUGAAGAAGGCCUUAGGGUUGUAAAGUACUUUCAGCGGUGAGGCGUUACCCGAAGAAGAAGCACCGGCUAACUCCGUGCCAGCAGCCGCGGUAAUAG
rnacentral:rRNA from 1 species